rnacentral:hammerhead_ribozyme from 1 species
CCAUUGCUGAAGGGUCCAAUACUAGGACGAAACGGCUGUCCAAUGC